AGUGAACGCUGGCGGUAGGCCUAACACAUGCAAGUCGAACGGCAGCACAGUAAGAGCUUGCUCUUACGGGUGGCGAGUGGCGGACGGGUGAGGAAUACAUCGGAAUCUACUUUUUCGUGGGGGAUAACGUAGGGAAACUUACGCUAAUACCGCAUACGACCUACGGGUGAAAGCAGGGGAUCUUCGGACCUUGCGCGAUUGAAUGAGCGGAUGUCGGAUUAGCUAGUUGGCGGGGUAAAGGCCCACCAAGGCGACGAUCCGUAGCUGGUCUGAGAGGAUGAUCAGCCACACUGGAACUGAGACACGGUCCAGACUCCUACGGGAGGCAGCAGUGGGGAAUAUUGGACAAUGGGCGCAAGCCUGAUCCAGCCAUACCGCGUGGGUGAAGAAGGCCUUCGGGUUGUAAAGCCCUUUUGUUGGGAAAGAAAAACAGCAGGUUAAUACCCCGCUGUUCUGACGGUACCCAAAGAAUAAGCACCGGCUAACUUCGUG
rnacentral:rRNA from 1 species